rnacentral:lncRNA from 1 species
GGGUAUUCAUGCCUUCAUUUCCAUCCAUUCAAAUCAUUGACGGGUGCUGCCGUUCCUGACUCCAGUCACUGUUAAUGGACAGGAUCAGUGUAGGUGUUGCUGCUUUGCCUAGCUUGAAGUAGCUUUAUUCGUUGCUUUUAGUCGAUUUCAUAUUUUGCGUAUGCGUAUUGCCUAAACAUGUGUGUGGGUAUUAAACCUGGGGUGUGUCUACAUAAUUUGGCGCUCGCAACCCUUGAACAGAACGGAGCUAGCUAGCUAGCAAAAACAAAUUGAUAAAUGGACAUUUUACUGCACCUCAAACACUUUUCCAAGUUGGAAUAAUGUAACGCGUCAUUUGGGGGAUUCGAAGAGUGGAACUUCAACUAUAAUGAAAGUUAACACCAGAGAGAGGCAGCAUACAGGAGCUCUAUAAGACGUAACUUUAUUCAUGACAGGCAACUACCAUCUCCUUCACUUCUAGCUGUUGGGCAGUCGAACAGUGUGCACUGGAUAGUUGGCAGCAGUUUAGAGGGGCCCCUUGGUAUCUCACAACUUGCAACUCACAUGGGAUGUCUGGUCAGAACCCAACAACCACAAUGGUCACUAGCUGGACAGAUUCCUCUCGAAAGGGGAGCCCUGUAGAUGAACUGCCUGCCGUGUCUUUGGCUGUAUAGGCGACCAUACAGUGACUCAAGAGAAGAAUGAAUUACACGUGUGAAACCAUGAGUCUUUAUACAUUCAAAGUGGAAUAUAAUGAGAUGUUUCUCCCAAUCUAAUGAUAUUAAAAUCCAAUAAAAGGC